rnacentral:lncRNA from 10 species
CCAGUCUAAACUGUUGGAUAAUAGUUCUAAGGAUUCUAACCUCCAUUUAUGAUCAAACACCAGCUGGGUGAAGAUCAAGGGCGGCCCAGAUGCAUGAGUGCCAACUACAUCAUGACUGUCACAAUCUUUGUGCUGGUACAGAUUUCAUCUUCAGGUCUGGAGCUGUAUAGAAAACUGCCUACUGGAAAUUGUCCUUCAGAUGUCUGCAGGCAUUUCACACUUAACUUUCUUUCAAAAUAAAGACAUUUUCCAUUCCUGCAUCUGCUGCACCCCAUACAGCCUUCAUCUGAUUUACCUCCUGUGAUUCCAGUCUGUCUGAACAGCACCAUCAUCCAGUCAGUUCUCCAAGCCAGAAGCCCAGCAGUCAUCUUAGACUUCUCCUUACUCUUGCCUCCUGCAUCCAGUCACUUCUGUCUUCCUUGCCUACUUGUACUGUGUGUACUGAUACAUCUCAUAAUCUGUCUUCAUCUCUCUGUACCUAGGGCCAGUGCUCUAAUUCAAGUCCUCAUCAUUUCUCUCCUGGAAAAAGGCUGUUACUUCUUCAUUCUUGCUCCCACUUCUCCUCGACUCCAUCCUCCAGAUUAUUGCCAGAACCAAUCACAGAAAUCUAAUUGAACAAUACAUCUGUUCACAACUUUCCAGUAGCUAACCAGUAGCUAUAGGAUAAACCACUCUCUUUCACGUUAUAUAAGAAAAGCCUUCAGUAUCUACCCCAUGUUUAAUACUACACUACGCUGUUAAGAUUUAUGCCACAGCAACACUGAUCUACCCAGUAAGUGGUCAGUACAUUUUAGUUGAAUUAAUAAAGAUAAGUGACAGUGUGAUUUGAUGGCCCAUGAACUCCCGUAUCAACCUCAUCAAUUGUCACCUCACCAUUAAAACUAUCUCCUUCCAGUCCUGAAGGUUUUAUUGGGUUCAAAAUUCCUAAAAAAGUAAGAAAGAAAGAAAGAAAGAAAGAAAGAAAGAAAGAAAGAAAGAAAGAAGAAAUAAAUAAAUAAAGAAAGAAAGAAAGGAAGGAAGGAAGGAAGGAAAAAAGAAAGCAAGAAAGAAAAGGAAAGAAAGAAAGAAAGAAAGAAAGAAAGAAAAUGUGAAAAGCUUUGGGAGUAUUCAGCUUUCCUAGUAACUAUGUACAACAGUUAGCUAACUAAGGAUCUUCAUUGUGCAGAGAUGGAUUCUGUGUUUAGAAUCUGGGGCAUGGCCAGAGGGUGCUGCAGGUAUUCCUGACUUGCUUCACAAGGUGGCUUGGGGCCUUUGCUGGGAAGAACUCUGCUUUUGUAAUUCUGACAGCUGGAUAACCUUGGGUAAGUUACUCUAGUUUCUUUCAAGCAAAGUUAAAAUAGCAACAUUAACCUACCCCCCACAGGCAUGUUAAUAAGUACAUUCUUCCCCAAAGUGCAAUGUACGGAUUUUCAUUAGUCAUAGGGCUACAAUAAUAGUUAAUUGUCCCUAGUUCUUCUUGUUAUUUACUGUUCACUCAACCAAAAUAUGUUACUGAAGGGACUGAGGGGAGAAAGUUGCAAAAUAUGCUGCUGUUCCAAAUAAGUUGCCAAGAUAAUAAAAAACAAUGUAAUCAGACUGUGAGAAGACCUUCUGAUUUCCAUCCCAACUAAUCAUUAGAGAUUCUAUUGCAAACUAAUUUUCUUAUCUCUUAUCUCUAAGUCAGCUCC